AGCAGACUUGCAUCGUGUCCAGGGGGGAUUGCAAACAAACUCUAUCUCUUGCCUCACAGAUAUGGUUCAAGAGACUGUGGAUUUGCUGUUGAGGAGAGGGAACUGGAUGUGUUUCCCGAGGAGGGGCUACUGGUUGGAUUGUCUGGUGAUCCAAACAUUGGGGAAUAUUUACAACAGGCUGUACAACAAAACACACUGCAGCAGCCACAAGACUGGGAAUCGGCCACAGAACUGUAUUUGGCCCUGAAGGACAUAGCUGGGUUUUAGAUACCAACUGAACUUCAGUUUGUAAUGACAUUUGUCAGAGUUACUCUGACGAAGACACACACGGUGUCGAAACGUUAGUUUCUUUCCUUUUUUUGCACCUAAUAAAACCUUUGGGACUUGAGUGCUCCAGCCCUUCUGUUUUUCCUUCAUUUUUUAAUGUUAGUAGUGUUUCCUUUCCCUCUUGCUAAAUUGAAUAUAAUAUUGUUCAUAAUAUACAGCAACUGGCAUGGAUUUAAAUAUUAACAUUUAACCACAAGGAAACAUUUAAAAUGUUCUUUAAUAAAACCAUUUACAAAUAG